CGUCACACUAUCAUUAACUGAAUCCAUAGGUUAAUGAGGCGAACCGGGGGAACUGAAACAUCUAAGUACCCCGAGGAAAAGAAAUCAACCGAGAUUCCCCCAGUAGCGGCGAGCGAACGGGGAGGAGCCCAGAGCCUGAAUCAGCAUGUGUGUUAGUGGAAGCGUCUGGAAAGGCGCGCGAUACAGGGUGACAGCCCCGUACACAAAAGCGCAUGUGCUGUGAGCUCGAUGAGUAGGGCGGGACACGUGGUAUCCUGUCUGAAUAUGGGGGGACCAUCCUCCAAGGCUAAAUACUCCUGACUGACCGAUAGUGAACCAGUACCGUGAGGGAAAGGCGAAAAGAACCCCGGCGAGGGGAGUGAAAAAGAACCUGAAACCGUGUACGUACAAGCAGUGGGAGCACCCUUUUGGGUGUGACUGCGUACCUUUUGUAUAAUGGGUCAGCGACUUAUAUUCUGUAGCAAGGUUAACCGUAUAGGGGAGCCGUAGGGAAACCGAGUCUUAAUU
rnacentral:rRNA from 1 species